GCCAGAAUGGUGUAGAGGUUUGAGCAUUGAACUAUUGACUCUGGAGACCAGGGUUCAAAUCCCUGCUCAGCCA